GACGAACGCUGGCGGCGUGCCUAAUACAUGCAAGUCGAACGAGAGCGACCGGUGCUUGCCCUGGUCAAUCUAGUGGCGAACGGGUGAGUAACACGUGGGUAACCUGCCCAUCAGAGGGGGAUAACAUCCGGAAACGGAUGCUAAAACCGCAUAGGUCUUCGAGCCGCAUGGCUUGAAGAGGAAAAGAGGCUCAAGCUUCUGCUGUUGGUUGGACCCGCGGUGCAUUAGCUAGUUGGUGAGGUAACGGCUCACCAAGGCCGUGAUGCAUAGCCGACCUGAGAGGGUGAUCGGCCACAUUGGGACUGAGACACGGCCCAGACUCCUACGGGAGGCAGCAGUAGGGAAUCUUCCGCAAUGGGCGCAAGUCUGACGGAGCAACGCCGCGUGAGUGAAGAAGGUCUUCGGAUCGUAAAACUCUGUUGUUAGAGAAGAACAAGUGCUAGAGUAACUGUUAGCGCCUUGACGGUAUCUAACCAGAAAGCCACGGCUAACUACGUG
rnacentral:rRNA from 1 species